GACGAACGCUGGCGGCGUGCUUAACACAUGCAAGUCGAGCGGAAAGGCCCUUCGGGGUACUCGAGCGGCGAACGGGUGAGUAACACGUGAGUAACCUGCCCCAGACUUUGGGAUAACCCUCGGAAACGGGGGCUAAUACCGGAUACGACACAGCUUCGCAUGGGGUCUGUGUGGAAAGUUUUUCGGUUUGGGAUGGGCUCGCGGCCUAUCAGCUUGUUGGUGGGGUGAUGGCCUACCAAGGCGACGACGGGUAGCCGGCCUGAGAGGGCGACCGGCCACACUGGGACUGAGAUACGGCCCAGACUCCUACGGGAGGCAGCAGUGGGGAAUAUUGCACAAUGGGCGGAAGCCUGAUGCAGCGACGCCGCGUGAGGGAUGACGGCCUUCGGGUUGUAAACCGCUUUCAGCAGGGACGAAGCGUAAGUGACGGUACCUGGAGAAGAAGCGCCGGCCAACUACGUG
rnacentral:rRNA from 1 species